rnacentral:rRNA from 1 species
GACGAACGCUGGCGGCGUGCCUAAUACAUGCAAGUUGAGCGCUGAAGGUUGGUACUUGUACCAACUGGAUGAGCAGCGAACUGGUGAGUAACGCGUGGGGAAUCUGCCUUUGAGCGGGGGACAACAUUUGGAAACGAAUGCUAAUACCGCAUAAAAACUUUAAACACAAGUUUUAAGUUUGAAAGAUGCAAUUGCAUCACUCAAAGAUGAUCCCGCGUUGUAUUAGCUAGUUGGUGAGGUAAAGGCUCACCAAGGCGAUGAUACAUAGCCGACCUGAGAGGGUGAUCGGCCACAUUGGGACUGAGACACGGCCCAAACUCCUACGGGAGGCAGCAGUAGGGAAUCUUCGGCAAUGGACGAAAGUCUGACCGAGCAACGCCGCGUGAGUGAAGAAGGUUUUCGGAUCGUAAAACUCUGUUGGUAGAGAAGAACGUUGGUGAGAGUGGAAAGCUCAUCAAGUGACGGUAACUACACAGAAAGGGACGGCUAACUACGUG